UACGGAGGGUGCGAGCGUUGUCCGGAAUCAUUGGGCGUAAAGGGCGCGUAGGUGGCCCGGUCAGUUCGUGGUGAAAGCGCGGGGCUCAACUCCGCGUCGGCCAUGAAUACUGCUGGGCUGGAGCACUGUAGAGGCAGGCGGAAUUCCGGGUGUAGCGGUGGAAUGCGUAGAGAUCCGGAAGAACACCGGUGGCGAAGGCGGCCUGCUGGGCAGUUGCUGGACACUGAGGCGCGACAGCGUGGGGAGCAAACAGG
rnacentral:rRNA from 1 species